AAACUGUCAGUACUCAGCCUGCUCCAGUCAGACACCAGGGGAAUCCCUUCACCUCCACACAUUUUCAGUAGGUCUGAGUGAGAAGUUGACUUCCUGCUCCCUUUUCCCACCCGUCCUCGAAAGCACGCAGCAUGCUGCGGUCUCCCUGCCUGGAGAUGGGAGGUUUGCCUGAGCAGGGAGCUCAUCUUUCACUCCCUGCCUGGCAGAAGCAGAUGGCACUUCAGUUUUUUCACCAGGUGGUGUCAACAGAGCCAACCAGGUGCAACCAGGUGGGGCAGGUAGGGUCUAAUUACCACAAAGCUUGAUGUUCUUUUCCCCUUCCCCCUCCCUGCCAUAGUCUUCCAGUUGAGGGGAGUGGCGUUGAGCCUGCACACCCACUGGCAUCAGUAAGGUAGAAUGGGCGGAAAGACGCAGGGCUGCCCGGCACCCACUUAACCCUUUCUGGUGGAAUGGAGCUCAUUAAGGUGCAGCUGUUGUGUCGCCACAAAGUGGCAUGACUUAGCCCUUGGGUUGCUGCUCCCUGGUGGGAGCUAGGCACAAGGGGAAGCUGAUUUUCUUACAUGAAGGCAAGAGAAGUGAUGAAUUGUAGCCAUAUUUUUGCCAAGAAUGUGUCAGUAAAGUGAACUUCCACCUCCCCUGUUGGCAGUACGUCCAUGCCAAUCAGUGCCUUGCUUUUUGUCUGCAUGUUGGCUUAGGGGAAGGUCUGCAUACCGGAAUACAUACACCCACCCAUCUGUGGCAUUAUACCUUAACAGGAUCCAGGAUUUCUCAACAAAAAUGUCAGGGUACAAUUAAACAGCCAUCAUAUCAAGAACCAGGAAAAUCACUCAUGAAUGAGAACAAAGAACACGUGCCAACACUGAGAUUUAUCUGACGAAUAUUUGAAAGCAGCCAUGAUAAAAAUGUUUUAGAAAGCUGUUACAAAUUCUAGAAAAGCUCAGCAAAGAAAUAGAAUUUCUUAAGAGAAUGAAAAAGAAAUUAUAGAGCUAAAAAAACAACAAAUUAAAAAAGUGAAUGGACUCAGUUGUGGAGAUAACAGAGUAUAGAAUUUACUCAAUAUACAUAGCAGAGAAAAUAGAGUGGGAAAAAAAAAUAGUCUCUCAUACCUCUGGGACAGUAAGUUAAUAUUCAUGUCAACACAGCCCCAGAGAGAAAGGAGAAAGUAAGACCAAAAAACAAAAUUUAAAGAAAUAUCUAAAAACUUCCCAAGAUGGUGAAAGACAUAAACUUGCAUUUGAAAAGCUGAACGAAUCCCAAACAGGAUAAACCCAAAGAAAUCUCUGCCAAGAAACACCAUGAUUAAACUUCUACAGACUAAAGAGAAAACUAUUGAAAUUAUCCAGAGAGAAGUGACACCUUUCUUGUAGGGGAAAACCAAUUUAAAUGAGAGGAGCUUGCUCAUCUGGAACCAUGGAGGCCAUGACACACUUUGUAGGGACUGAGAGAAAAGAUCAGCCACAAAUUGUAUGUGAGGCGAUCCCAGUAACAGAAUCAUUCAGGAGUAGAAGGGAAAGGACCUGUUUCUGAGAUAAAGGAAUAACUAAGAAUUUAUUGCUAGCAAAUAAAAAGAGUCGGAACUUCAGGAAUAUUUAUCCAUUCCAGUGUUCUUUCAUAACAGAUCCUGAUGAGCUUCUUAAAUCAUAUUUCAUAGUGGAAACAAAGCACAUACCACAAUAUGAUGUGGUAAAUCUAUGUAAAAUAUCUAAGAUAAUUAUUCUUGAAAAAGGGAGCAGAUAAAGAGACCGAAGGGGAAUUAAGUUGUGUAUACUUAAAAUGAUAAAAUAUUGAUACCCAUAGCACAAGUUACAUAUGCAUAUUUUAAUCUUUAGAGCAACUGCUAAAAAAUUACAGAAAGCAAUAUACUCAAAACACACUGAACAAAUUAAGAUGGAAUUCUUAAAAUGUUUACAUUAUUUAUAGUAAGGUAAAAAGAGAACCAGGAAGAAAUAGGAAACAAUUAAAUACAGACUUAAGGCCUUCCGUAUGUAUAGUUACCUUAAAUAGUAGGGGGUCUGAAUUUACUCAGAAGACAGAGAUUGGCAGAAUGGGUAAGAAAAUAUCCUAAAUUAUACUGUUUACAAGAAAAGCAUUGAUAAAUGAUGAAUAAGUGUGUUGAAAUGGGUUAAGGAUCUGGUGUUGCUGUAGGUUGUUGUGUAGGCUGUAGAUGUGGCUCGGAUCUGCUCUUGGCCAUGGCUGUGGUAUAGGCUCGUGGCUGUGGCUCUGACUUAGCCCCUAGCCUUGGAACUUCUGUAUGCCACAGAUGUGGCCCUAAACAAACAAACAGUCAUAUUAAUAGCAGAAAAUUUCAGGACAAAGAAGCUUAACUAGAGAGAAAGACACAUGAUAGAAGAACCAACCCAAUAUGGAAGACAUAAUGAUAUGGAAUAUUUACAUACCAAGGAAGAAAACAUUAAAAUAUAUGAAGCAAAAACUUACACCUAUUUGUAAGUAUAAAUGAAGUUGGAGUCUUUUAACACACUGUUCUCAACAAUGGAUAUAACUACUAGAUGGAAAAUCAAGACAACAGGAAAUUUUUUCAACACUUGAAACACAUUUAUUAAUAAUGCAUGGUUGAAAGGAAAAUUUCAAAAGAAAUUAAUGAAAAUACAGUAUGUCAGAUAUGUGGGAUGUGGCUUAAAGCAGUGCUGAGAGGAAAGUUGUAGUAUUAAAUGAUUGCCUUUGAAAGGAGGAAAGAUCUAAUAUCAAUAAAUUAAGCUACCUCAAACUACAAAAGAGCGAACUCUAAAACAAGGAAAAGGAGUUCCUGUCAUGACUCAGCAGUUAACGAAUCUGAUUAGCAUCCACGAGGAUGCAGGUUCGAUCCCUGGCCUUGAUCAGUGGGUUACGGAUCCGGUGUUGCUGUGAGCUGUGGUGUAGGUUGCAGACACGGCUCGGAUCCUGCAUUGCUGUGGCAUAGGCCAGCAGCUACAGCUUCGAUUUGACCCCUAGCCUGGGAACCUCCGUAUGCCAUGGGUGCGGCCCUGAAAAGCAAAAAAAUUAAAAAAUAAAACAAGGAAAAGGAUGGAAAUAAUAAAGAGCAGGAAUCAAUGAAAUUGAAAGUAGAACGAGAAGAAAAAAUGAAAAUAAAAACUUAUUCUUUGAAAAGAUCAAUAAAAUUGAUAACCUUGCAAAACUAACAAGACAGAAACCACAAUAAAUCAGGAAUGAAGCAGAGGAGGAUAUGACUACUGAUACUGCAGCUGUUAAAAAAAUAAGGUAAUGCUGUGAACAACUUCGUGCUCAUAAAUUAAACCACUUAGAGGAAGUCGAUCAAUUCUCAAACUAAAACUUAAGCACAGCUCGACCCAGUUGAAAUGGACAACUUGAAUAGUGAUAUAACCUUUAAAGAAAUUGAACUUCUUCAUUUAUAAGUUCCUAAAAAAAAAAAAAAUCUCCAGGCCUAGAUGGUUUCAUUGGAGGAAUUAAGCAACAUUUAAUGAAUAAUUAAUACCAAUUUUAUGUAAUAUUCUCCAGAAAAAUAGGAGGAAAGACUUAGAAACUCAAUUUAUGAGGUUAGUAUUACCUUGGUAGCAAAACCAGACAAAGACAACAAAAAAUUAGAACUCCGUAGCCCAGUAUCUUUCAUGGACAUCAACAGAAUAUUAGCAAAUAAUAUUUAGUAAUAAAGGUUUAACAUGACUAAGUGGAAUUUAUUCCAGACAUGCAAGACUGGUUCAACAUUUGAAACUCUUGAUGUAAUCUACUGUAUCAGCAGGCUAAAGAAGAAGAACCUUAUCAUCUAUGAAUUCAUCCAGAAAAAACAUUUGACAAAAACCAACAUUCAUGAUUUAAAAACUCAGAAAACUAAUAGAGCACUGCCUCAACUAGAUAAAAAGCAUCUACUAAAAAUCUCUAGGUAAGAGUACACUCGGUAGUGAAAGUUGGAAUACUUCCCUCUUGGGAAGAAGGCAAGGACGUGUUCUUACUAUUGCUGUUCAAGAUAGUACGGGGAGUUCUGGCUACUACAAUAAAGCAAGAAAAAGAAUUAAAACUGUCCCUAUUUGCAGAUGACAUUGUCUGCAAAUGAUGAUGUCAUAGAAAAUCCUAUGGAAUUUAGAAAACUCCUAGAAUUGGGGAGCUCAAUAGGUGUUCCAUACAGCAUCAACACAUAAAAAUCAAUCACAUUUCUAGUUAUUAACAAGGACUUGUGAAACCGCAAAACAUUAUUUACAGUUGCUCCAAAAAGGUAUAAAUUUUCUCAUGUAUAGAAUCUUUGAACUGAAAAUUAUGAAAUGCCAAGAAAUGACGAUCUACUAAGUGUUGAAACAUACUCUUGCUCAUACAGCUGUAUGACGUAGAUUCAAUAUAGUAAAGGCUAAUUCUUCUCAGGUUGACAUAGGUAUUAAUGCAAUUCCUGUAAAAAUUCCAGCAAGUUACUGUGUAGACCAUAGAGGAGGUUGGUUACUCAGAAUUUUGUAGGCACAGGACCCAGAAUAGCUAAAGCAAUACUGAAAAAGCAUGGAGGGUAGAAUCAUUCUUACUGAUGCUAAAGCCUUGUCGAUACCUGCGGUCAUCAAGAUGGUGUGGUACUGGCAGAGAGAUCCAACGAACGGGAUGGAGAACUAAGAAGUUCGCUCACCCGUAGAUACCCUACUAAUUUUUGAUAAAGGUACAAAAGCGUUUCACUGGAGGGAGGAUAGCCUUUUUCGCAAAUGGUACGGGAGUGAUUUGACAUCUGCAGAUAAAACAUCCUUAAUCUAAACUUUACAUGCCUUAUAAAAAAUUAACUCAUAAACUACAGCUUGAAAUGUAAAAUUAAAAACUUAGGGAAAAAAUAGGAAGUCAUCAAGAUCCAGGCCUCGCAAUGCAUUCUUCAUCUUGACACCAAAAGCGCAAUCCUAAUAGAAAAACAUUGACACGUUGGAACCCCUUAAAUGGAAAAACUUUGCUCUUAGAAGGCCAUGUUAAGAGGAUGAAAAGACAAGCUAUACACUGGUAGAAGAUGUGUGACCGGCAGAUCUUCCAAAAGGGUAGCAUCUGCAAUGUAUAAAGAGCUUUCAGGAGUUCCCGUUGUGCAGUGGCAACGAAUCCAACUAGGCAUCAUGAGGUUUUGGGUUUGAUCCCUGGCCUCGUUCUGUGGGUUAAGGAUCCGGCGUUGCCAUGAGCUAUGGUGUAGGUCACAGACGCAGCUCGGAUCUGGCAUUACUGUGGCUGUGGUGUAGGCCAGCAGCUGUAACUCUGAUUCGACCCCCAGCCCAGGUGCGGUCAAAACAAAACAAAACAAAAAAAAACCCUUUCAAAAUUCAGUAGUUAAAAAAACUCAGAAUAUAGGCAGACGUCAUCUGAAGACACUUCACUGAAGAGGAUGAAUAAAUGGACAAGAAGCACAGAACAAGACAGUCACAUCAAUAGCCAUUAGGAAAUGAAAACUAAAACCACAGGAGAGGUGUCCCCUCUGUGGCUCAGUGGAAACGAAUCCAGCUAGUAUCCAUGAGGACGUUUGAUUCCCGGCCUUGCACACUGUGUUAUGGAUCUGGUGUUGCCGUGAGCUGUGCUGUAGGUCACAGAUGCACCUCGGAUCCUACGGGGCUGUGGCUGUGGCUGUGGCCGGCAGCUAGCGUUCCAGUUCGACCCCUAGCCUGGGAACUUCCAUAUGCUGUGGGUGCAGCCCUAAAAAGACAAAAAACAAACAAAAAACCUCAGGGAGAAAUCUCAUUGCUAAAGGCUAAAAUAAAAAGUAGUGGAAACACCAAAUACCGGUGAGGAUGCGGAGAAAUAGAAUCACUUUUACAUUGAUAGUAGGAAUGUAAAAUAGUACUGCUAUUCUAGAAAACAGUUUUGCCAAUUUCUUAUAAAACUAAAUGCGGAGUUUCCAUCGUGGUGCAGUGGAAAUGAAUCCUAUUAGGAACCAUGAGGUUGCAGGUUUGAUCCCUGGCCUCUUUUAGUGGAUUAAGGAUCCGGCUGUGAGCUGUGGUGUAGGUCACAGAUGGGGCUCGAAUCUGGCGUGACUGGGGCUGUGGAGUAGGCCAGAGGCUAUAGCUCUGAUUUGACCCCUAGCCUGGGAACCUCCGCAUACCAUGGGUGCAGCCCUAAAAAGACAAACCCUCCAAAAACAAUGAAAAAACAAAAAA
rnacentral:lncRNA from 1 species